GAGUUUGAUCGUGGCUCAGGAUGAACGCUGGCGGCGUGCUUAACACAUGCAAGUCGAACGGGCUCAUAUUGAAACCUAGUGAUUUAUGAGUUAGUGGCGGACGGGUGAGUAACGCGUGGAAAACCUGCCGUGUACUGGGGGGAUAACACUUAGAAAUAGGUGCUAAUACCGCAUAAGCGCACAGCUUCGCAUGAAGUGGUGUGAAAAACUCUGGUGGUAUACGAUGGUUCCGCGUCUGAUUAGCUUGUUGGCGGGGUAAUGGCUCACCAAGGCAACGAUCAGUAGCCGGCCUGAGAGGGUGAACGGCCACAUUGGGACUGAGACACGGCCCAAACUCCUACGGGAGGCAGCAGUGGGGAAUAUUGCACAAUGGGGGAAACCCUGAUGCAGCGACGCCGCGUGAGUGAAGAAGUAUUUCGGUAUGUAAAGCUCUAUCAGCAGGGAAGAAAAUGACGGUACCUGAUUAAGAAGCCCCGGCUAACUACGUGCCAGCCGCCGCAGUAAC
rnacentral:rRNA from 1 species